rnacentral:rRNA from 1 species
UACGGAGGGGGCAAGCGUUGUUCGGAAUUACUGGGCGUAAAGGGCGCGUAGGCGGCCCGCUAAGUCGGACGUGAAAUCCCCGGGCUCAACCCGGGAACUGCGUCUGAUACUGGCUGGCUUGAGUCCGGGAGAGGGAUGCGGAAUUCCAGGUGUAGCGGUGAAAUGCGUAGAGAUCGGGAGGAACACCCAGGGGGAAGCCAGCAGACUGGGCAAGUGCUGACGCUGAGGUGCGAGAGCGUGGGGAGCGAACCGG